UGCCUGUAAUAGGAAUCAUGCCAGAAGACGAUGGAAUGACGAAAUCAUUUGGCACUUGAGGUUCAACACCAGUACCAAACCUUUUCAUCUUUGAAUUGUAGUAUAUCGGUUCUUGAUCAAUCUUGACUACGUUUGCUAAAGCCUUCCCCGCAGCCAGAAUCCUUUUAAUGCGAGCAACCUUCUCUUUAUUGCCAUCAUUUCCAGAAUGCUUCCUUGAAAAAUCCAAUAUUGUCUGUGCAGGAAGAAGUGGCAAGAAUCCCCUUAAUUCAAGAUCCUCCCAUAAUGCAAGCCGAUUUUCAGUUUCGCCCUCUUCAUAUUUACUGAGGUUAAAAAAGCAAG
rnacentral:misc_RNA from 1 species